CACGAAGUUCUGUUCGCCGGCAGAAUACUAAUCUGCAAGAGCAGACCAUGCCCCUUGUUGAGCCUGGGAACACAGAGGAAGCAUGAGAAAUUAAGCACCAAGCGAAUUUUAUAGACAUACCUUGGAAUCAAGUCUUUGGAGAAAGAAGACUACUUACAUUUGUUUGUCUCUCUAUUCAGUUUGGAGAUAAGAAAAUCGAGGCCCAGAGAUGCAUGUAAAAAAUCAGCUCAACAUGGAUUGAAGACUCAACAUAGACUUGAAAAGACCUGAAACCAUACAACUACGAGAAGCACAUACAAAGAUAAAGCUUUGGACAUUGACGUGAGUAAUGAUUUCUUGGCUAUGACACCAAAGGCACAGGCAAUAAACAAAUGGGAAAAUAGACAAGCGGGGCUGCAUUGAACGCUAAAGCAUCUUCAUAGCAAAGGAAACAAUCAACUGAGGGAAACGGCAACCCAGAAAAUGAGAGAAAAUGUUUGCAAAGCCUACGUGGUAGAAGGGGUAAAUAUCUGAAUACAUAAGGAAGUCAAACAACUCAAUAGCAAAAAACAAACAACCUGAUUGAAAAACAGACCUAGGACCUGCAGAGGCUUCUCUCACAAUAAAAUAAUGUUUUAAGAAGCUGUGAUCGUCUUUAUUGGACAUGUCAAGUAGGACACGUGUGUUUGGAAGGAAACUUUUUGAGUUUCUCUAUUGACUUAGCUAGUAGCCAUUACCCC
rnacentral:lncRNA from 1 species